rnacentral:lncRNA from 1 species
AGAGGCAAGGCCUCCUGCCUGGGGCCUCCUAACUACUCCUGGCCGUCGGCGGUCUUCACGUAGCAGCAUCCAUCGGCGGUGGCAUCUGGCUCCAGGGAUCCACCAUCUGGUUGCAUCAACCGGAAAGAAGAAGGAAGGGGGAAAAGGGGUAGCAAAGCAACCGUGAGUACUCAUCCAAAGUACUCGCAAGCAUAAGAUCUACACUAAGUAUGCACUGGUAUCAAAUGGAAGGUUUGUAUCUGUGGACUGAACUGCAGAAUGCCAGAAUAGAGGGGGAAAGCCUAGCCUAUCGAAGACUAGCAUCUUCACGCAGCUCCUCGCAUCUUGCAGCAUGUAGAAGAGUAAAGAAUAGCAGUUUAUAUUUAACAAGCAUGUUGUAACAAUAAUGCCCAGAGAUCCUUCCUCGACUCCCUGCGAGAAAACAAUCCCGGAGCCACAUAUCUCAAGUAUCCAUUUGUAGUUGUAUAAGAUCAGGAUAUAAGUCUGAACGUCCAUUACCGUGGACACGGUACUCGAAUAUAUAACUUCCCUGCAGGGGUGCACCACGUUACCCAACACGCUCGAUCACUCUGGCCGGACACACCUUUCUGGGGUCAAUGCCCGCCCUCGGAAGAUCAACACGUCGCAGCCCGACCUAGGCUCAGCAGAGAGGUCCCCGCCGGUCUACAUCCUAAGCACUCCGGGGUCUGGGCCCAUCGCCCGUUGCACUCCGGAUCGUUGUGCGCAAGGGGAUACCAGCACCACCCGUGAAGUGGAUGGCACGAUCCGGCCCGGCCACAAUGCUGAACUGGACGUCUGACAAAGCUUCGGCUGAUACCACGACGUCGAGGCCCAUAUCUAUUCUCGCGUGGUGGUUAGUGCGUAAAGGCCAGAGGCCAACUCAGAACAAAUACCCAAACCAUAGUGUAUUAUUAGCUUGCGGAGACGAGCAGAGACUUACGAUCGAAAGUGACCCCGUCGCCCCGUCUCGUGGACUUACGACAAUGGCCUAGAAUGUCCGGCCGUGCCACGUAACCAUCUUGCGGGUGCUCUCCGGGCCCGCCCGACUUCCACCAAGGUCUCAAGUAAAGCCAUUGUAACCGUGUGUCCAGACAUCAAGAGGAAAACCCGAGGAAUCACCCCUGGUGGAUUCCACUCAAUGUAAUCAUCAAGGUGAACAUAUGAGGGACCACCCUCGAGGUUCACUCUUGAGGUGUUGAACGACAGAGCCGUAUCGGGAAUGGAGAAAGAGGAAAUCACCCUCGAUGACCACGACCGAAUAGCUACACUACAGAAUUAUCAUCAGGAGUGCGUUAUGAGGGAUCACCCUCGGCACUCGAUAGUAGCUCUGCAGAGUCGAGCAACAAAAGGGGCGUGAUGUGAUGUGAGGUGUCGGGCUCUGGUCGUCGAUCACGUCGAUCGAGGCAUCGAUGAUGAAGCAGGGCAACAAGGACAAGGUGGGGUCACUGAUGGAUCACUAACCAACCUAUACUAAGCAGUUUAGGAUAAGCAGGUAGGUAACAAUAAGCAGGUACAAAAGCAGGCUAUGCAUCAGAAUAGGAGCAAACAAUAACAGUAGAAAAAUCUAAUGCAAGCAUGAGAGUAUAGAAUGGGCGAUAUUGGGAUGAUCAAAGGGGGGGCUUGCCUGGUUGCUCAGACAAGAAGGAGGGUCGUCGUCGACGUAGUCGAUCACAGUGGCAUCAGCAGCGGUCUCGGGGUCUACCGGGAAGAAGAGGAGGAAAACAGUAAAUACACGCAAACAUAUGCAUAACAUGACAAUAAUCGAGGCUAGAGGUGUUCUAACGCAGCGCUAGGCGAUACUGGCGAAGGGGGAAAAAUCCGGGAAUGUUUUCCCGGUUCCGGACGUCUGUCAAACAGAUGAACUAGAGGGGGGAAAGUUCAACGUUUGAUAUACUAGGGAUGUGUGGCGGAUGAAGGGACCGCGUAAUCGGAUUCGUCUCGUCGUUCUGAGCAACUUUGAUGUAUAAAACUUUUUCAUCCGAGUUACGGUUAAUUUUCUAUGAUUUUUCAAAGAUUUAAACAAUAUUCUAAAAUUAUUAUUAAAAAGGAAACACUGCAUCAGCAUGAUGCCAGGGUGACGUCAGCAGUCAACGUUGACCUGUUGACCAGUCAAACUGACAGGUGGGUCCAUCCUGUCAUAGACUGAUAACUAAACAGCGUUUGAUUUUAACUAACCUAGUUAAUUAGGAUAAUUAAGCCAAGUUAAUUAUGUUAAUUUUUAAUUUACUAAUUAAUUAAUUUAAUUAUUUUUUAUAUCUUUUUUUACAUAUAACAGGGGAUGGGCCCCACUGCUCAGUGGCCCAUUAGGCAACUGGAGCGGGUGGUUAACGGGGCGGGUGCUGGCCCGGGCGGAGGCCGAACCCGCCCAGGUGCAGGGCGAGGCCAGCGGGGCGCCGGCGAGGACGACAGGCCGCGGCGGCCGGCUCCAGGCGACGCGGGGUCACGUGGAUGGAAUGAGUUGCACCGGCAGCAGUUGGGCGAAGGGGGCGACCGGCGAGCAGGCACGGGGCGGCCGCAACCGCGCGUGGGGAGGAAAGGGGUGAAGGAAAUAUGCCCUAGAGGCAAUAAUAAAGUUAUUAUUUAUUUCCUCAUAUCAUGAUAAAUGUUUAUUAUUCAUGCUAGAAUUGUAUUAACCGGAAACAUGAUACAUGUGUGAAUACAUAGACAAAACUAUAGUCACUAGUAUGCCUCUACUUGACUAGCUCAUUAAUCAAACAUGGUUAUGUUUCCUGACCAUAGACAUGUGUUGUCAUUUGAUUAGUGGGAUCACAUCAUUAGGAGAAUGAUGUGAUUGACAUGACCCAUUUUGUUAGCCUAGCACUUGAUCGUUUAGUAUACUGCUAUUGCUUUCUUCAUGACUUAUACAAAGUUCCUGCAACUAUGAGAUUGUGCAACUCCCGUUUACCGGAAGAACACUUUGUGUGCUACCAAACGUCACAACAUAACUGGGUGAUUAUAAAGGUGCUCUACAGGUGUUUCCGAAGGUACAUGUUGGGUUGGCAUAAUUCGAGAUUAGGAUUUGUCACUCCGAUUGUCGGAGAGGUAUCUCUGGGCCCUCUCGGUAAUACUCAUCACCUAAGCCUUGCAAGCAUGUAACUAAUGAGUUAGUUAUGAGAUGACGUAUUACGGAACGAGUAAAGAGACUUGCCGGUAACGAGAUUGAACUAGGUAUUGGAUACCGACGAUCAAAUCUCGGGCAAGUAACAUACCGAUGACAAAGGGAACAAAGUAUGUUGUUAUGCGGUUUGACCGAUAAAGAUCUUCGUAGAAUAUGUAGGAACCAAUAUGGGCAUCCAGGUCCCGCUAUUGGUUAUUGACCGAGAAUGGUUUUAGGUCAUGUCUACAUAGUUCUUGAACCCGUAGGGUCCGCACGCUUAACGUUUCGAUGACAAUUUUAUUAUGAGUUUAUAAGUUUUGAUGUACCGAAGUUUGUUCGGAGUCCCGGAUGUGAUCACGGACAUGACGAGGAGUCUCGAAAUGGUCGAGACAUAAAUAUUGAUAUAUUGGACGACUAUAUUCAGACACCGGAAAGGUUCCGGGAGUUUUCGGAGAAAAACCGGANNNNNNNNNNNNNNNNNNNNNNNNNNNNNNNNNNNNNNNNNNNNNNNNNNNNNNNNNNNNNNNNNNNNNNNNNNNNNNNNNNNNNNNNNNNNNNNNNNNNNNNNNNNNNNNNNNNNNNNNNNNNNNNNNNNNNNNNNNNNNNNNNNNNNNNNNNNNNNNNNNNNNNNNNNNNNNNNNNNNNNNNNNNNNNNNNNNNNNNNNNNNNNNNNNNNNNNNNNNNNNNNNNNNNNNNNNNNNNNNNNNNNNNNNNNNNNNNNNNNNNNNNNNNNNNNNNNNNNNNNNNNNNNGAAGAGAGGGGCCGGCCAGGGCAAGUGGUGCGCCCCUCCCCUUGAGUCCGAAUAGGACAAGGAAGGGGGGGCGGCGCCCCCCUUGCCUUCCCCCUCUCCUACUCCUUCCUUCCCCCUCCUUGGAUUAGGAAAAGGAGGGGGGAAACCUACUUGGAGUAGGUUUCCCCCUCCUAGGGCGUGCCUCCCCUUAGGCCGGCCCCCUCCUCCCUCCCUCCUUUAUAUACAGGGGCGGGGGGCACCCCAUAGACACACAAGUUGAUCUACGGAUCGUUCCUUAGCCGUGUGCGGUGCCCCCUUCCACCAUAUUCCACCUCGGUCAUAUCGUCGCAAAGCUUAGGCGAAGCCCUGCGCCGGUAGAACAUCAAGAUCGUCACCACGCCGUCGUGCUGACGGAACUCUCCCUCGACACUCGGCUGGAUUGGAAUUCGAGGGACGUCAUCGAGCUGAACGUGUGCUGAACUCGGAGGCUCCGUACGUUCGGUGCUUGGAUCGGUCGGAUCGUGAAGACGUACGACUACAUCAACCGCGUUGUGCUAACGCUUCCGCUUACGGUCUACGAGGGUACGUGGACGAACACUCUCCCCUCUCGUUGCUAUAUCAUCACCAUGGUCUUGCGUGUGCGUAGGAAAUUUUUUGAAAUUACUAUGUUCCCCAACAAGGGGGCGGCAGCGAGCGCCGACGGGGCCGUGGCCACGACGCGGCCAGCCGAAGAGGGCUGCGGUCGCGAUGGGCUAGCGUAGCAGGAGGGGGGCGGCGCGAGCGACGGUGGGGUGCUGUGCGGGGCGCGGCCAGGCGCAGGGUGAAGGGCGUGGCACGGCGAGCGCGGGCCGGUGCGGUGGUGGCCAGGGCGCGACGGGCGCAGCUACGGGUGAUGCACGACGACAGAAGCAAAGGAGAAGGUGGGAAAAUGGACAGCGAAGCUCACCGGGCCCUGUAGGUGUGCACAAGUGGGCUCGAGGAGGAGUCGGGGAGGCGUCGGAGCAGCCUGAGACGAGUCGGAGAGGCGGGUCAACGCGGAUCGACGGUGGUGUUGUCGCGAUGCCGAGGCGGGUCAACACAACACAGGGAGGCCGGUGGCCGCGAUGGUGGUGCGGCAACGACGAGGGAUCUGGAGGAGGGAGGCGAGCGUGAGGGAGAGGGAGGAUGAGGGGGAGUGGGUGGGGAGGAGCAAGUGGGAGAGGUGGCAGGGGAGAGGCCGAGGCGUCGGCCUUAUCCUCUCACUCGACGCCGACGAGGUGGUCGGGCGGAACCCACGCCCUGUAGCGGUCAGGGACCGAGGAACAGGAAGGAGCGGGGGGAAGCGACCGGGGGGGCUUAGUGGGCCGGCUGGGCCGACCGGGUGGGUCUGGUGGCCAAGCGGCCCAGGGUGAGGAGGGAGGUUUUUGUUUUAUUAUUAUAUUUACAAUUAUACAGUUUUAUUUAAUGUUAGUGCACUAAAACACUUUAAAAAAAAUUGGUUCACCACCAUAAUUACUUAUGGAAUAUUUUCCACGGUUUGUACAUUUUAGUUUUGACAUAUGAAAACUUUUAUUUUUGACUUGCUGAAAGUGCGUUAUAUCGACUAGAGGGGGGGUGAAUAGGCGAUUUUUAUGAAUUCUUCACUGAGGAAUUUUUCCUGGUGAGGAAAUUCCUUAGCGAAGAACUACUUGCAGCGGAAUAAGUACUCAGAAGUAAACAUAACAGGAUACAAACAUAAUCAUCAUGAUGAAAUGAAGACUAGCAUAGAGUACAGAAAGCGUAAACACAGGAUAAUAAGAUGAAGACAAACAGACUGAAGAAAUUGAACUAGGGAAUUUUUGAAAGUCUUCAGUCAAAGUCUUCAAGCACAGAUAUGAACAACAUAUAACACAGUAAUGAGGAAAUGAAAGAGUUGAGGAAAUAGAACCAGUUAGUUGGUGAAGACAAUGAUUUGGUAAACCAGUUCCAACUGAUGUCUCAGUUGUACGUCUGGUUGGAGCGGCUGAGUAUUUAAACUCGAGGACACGCAGUCCCGGACACCCGGUCUCUGAGCCGCAACUCAGGACACCCAGUCCUCACCGUAUUCUCCUUGAACCAAGACCACGCAGGCCUCGUCCAAUCACUCGUGGUAAGUCUUCAGGUGACUUCCAAACCUUCACAGACUUGGUCACUCGGCGAUCCACAAUUCCUCCUGGAUGCUCUAGACCUUGACGUAUAACCGUCUGGAAGAAGCACAGUCUUCAAAGGUAACAAGCGUCGGAUCCACGCAGGAUCAAUUUCUUCAGUGAUGCUCAAUCACUUUGGGUUUGUGGGGGUUUGGUUUUGGGAUUUUCCUCACUUGAUGAUUUUCGCUCAAAGUCCUCGGAGGAUGGGUUGCUCUCAAAUGACAAGUGUCAAGUUCUCUCGGAGCAGCCAACCAACUAGUGGUUGUAGGGGGCGGCUAUUUAUAGCCUAGGGAGCAGCCCGACAUGAUAAGACAUAAAUGCCCUUCAAUGAUAUGACCGUUAGGUGGAUAAGAUAUUUUGGACAGCCGGCACGCAGCACAGCAACGGUCGGAAAUUUGACUCUCAAAUUCCUCAGGGCUAUCAUGUUCCUCACUGUGUAGGCAAUUCGCACUGGCGAAUUCCUAACUCCUCAGUCAGAGCAAAGUCCUCAGUGACCAGAAGAACUGCGUCUCUGUCACUGAAGAAAUUGACUGAACUGUAUGAGAUUUCCAAUGGCUUCACUCGAAGGGAUUGGUAGGUGUAGGAUUUUGAGUUGAGCAUCACAUGGAAAUUUUUCCUUAGUAUUUCCUCGACCCCCUUUAACAGUACGGUGUUUCCUAUGACUCAAGAAAGAGAAAAUGAAACUAUGAAAACAAAAGUCUUCACGCUUCAUAUUCCUCGAAUGAAUACCAAGUCUUCAAGGUCACACCAAUUUCUUCACUUUCAAAGUCUUCAGAAAGUCUUCAGAAUAUCAAAGUCUUCAGUCGAAGAACUUCAUUUUUAGGGGUCGACUUUCUCUGUAAAUAUCAAACUCCUCAUAGACUUAUAGACCUGUGUACACUUACAAACGCAUCAGUCACUUAACCUAUAAGUCUUCAAUACACCAAAAUCACUAAGGGGCACUAGAUGCACUUACAAUCUCCCCCUUUUUGGUGAUUGAUGACAACAUAGGUUAAGUUUUCAAUGGGGAUAAACAUAUGAAGUGUAAAUACUGAUAUUGAGGAAUUUGAUUGCAAGAUAUAGAAGAACUCCCCCUGAAUAUGCGCAUAGUGAGGAAUUUGCUUUUGAGGCAAUGCACAUUUGAAGAAUUGAAUCAUGGAGAUCUCCCCCUAUAUCUUGUAAUUCAUACACGCAUUUGAUAUAUAAUAUGAAGAAUUUGAAAUGCAUGAUGAAAUAUGGUGCCUGAUGAGAUUCAGCAUGCGUGCAAUAAUAUUAACGAGGAAUAAGCAUGCAGAAUAACACAUCAAAAGUAUCAGAGCACGGUGCAUCAAGUCAGAGCACAAUGCAUCAUUCAAAAGUAUCAGGGCACCAUCGGAUUUAAGAUUACAACUCGAUCCAAUAAAAGUUUCGGAAGAACGAGAGUUGUAACUUAACAAAAUGCCCAUAAUAUAAACCCGCUUGAAGACUAACUCAGAUUUCUCCCCCUUUGUCAUCAAAUGACCAAAAGGAUCGAAACUGAGGACUAAUGCCCCUGAAGAAUUUCAAGUCGAUGGAGGAGCGCCAGUGUUGUCGGGGUUGUUCGUUGAAGUAGGGCCUGCCGCAGUGUCGUCCAAAUCUUCAUGUUUCAUCAGUUUCACGCGAUGAAGAAUAAGAACUGGCCACCAGAUCAGGAACUUUAACUCUCUUGAAUUUCUUCGGAGGUGGUGCAGACCAGUCAAAUGCUUCCUAGAGACCCAUAGUCUUCAGUUCUUUCGCGGAAUAUACAUGAGUGAGAACAGCCCAGGUGCGGUUGAGGGUUUCAUGAAGGUGAUACUGAUUUUUCUUCACUGCAUUAUGGGUUGAAGUCAUGUUGUGAAGAAUUGCAGCAAACUAACGUUUCACCCAUUUGUGAUUGCGAUCAACCUUCUGAUGAAGACUGAGGAGUAACUCACGGUCAGUCAUCACCCUGGGUGCUAUUGCUUGAGGCUUUUGCUUGGCUGAUGUAUUUGUGGCAGUGUCAUGUGUUGCAGAAUUGUCAUUGGUGGAGUAAGAUGUAGCUAGACGGAAUUGACCAUCCAAUGGACGAGUGCCUUCAUCGAUCACAGCAGCUGCCUUGCCCUUAUCAUCAGAUGAUGAAACUGGUCGCUUGAGGACUUCAAUGGGCGGCAAGUAGCUACCAUGGUUUAGAGUGUCAGCCUUGUAAUUUAGUGAAGAUCUUGCCCUUAUGAAUCUCAUAAUCCAAGGCGCAUAGGGCUUCAGCUCAAAAGGUGACAUUGCAACAUUAGCCAGAGUCCUCAUGAAGAAAUCAUGAAAGUUGACGGGAACGCCAUGAAUGAUGUUGAAAAGCAUGUUCUUCAUGAUGCCAACGACAUCUUCGUCAUUUGAGUCGUGGCCUUUGAUAGGACUCAUUGUCUUCGUCAGGAUGCGAUAGACAGUCUGAGGCACAUAUAGCAGUUCCUUGACAAGGAAUUUGGUUCGUGGGGCCUGCCCUGGCUUCAAAGGCUUCAUGAGCACUUGCAUAUAAUGAUCUGUCAGUUUGCGGUCAUUGUAGAUGCAACGUGCACUGUCAUGGGGAGGAUCAAGAGGAAGGACACGAAGCAAUUCAGUUGCUGGUGCCUUAUAGUGAGUGUUUUCUGUCAUCCAAUCCAGCACCCAUGAAUUGACAUCUUCAGCAUCUCCGGUGAUAUGUAAAGUGGCAUAGAACUGAAGAAUGAGUUCUUCAUUCCAAUCACAGAUAUCAGUGCAGAAAUUCAGUAAUCCUGCAUCAUGAAUAACUCGGAGGACUGGCUCGAAGCACGGCAGAGAUUCCAUAUCCACAUGAGGAAUGUGCUCAUGAUCGAAGAUUUUGUCCUUGUCAAAGAGCACUGAGGAAUAGAAGUUGGCUUGAGUAGCAGUCCAGAAACGUCUUUUCCUUAUGCGAGCAGAGUCAUAUGGAUUGUAAUCAGUGAAGAACACAUGCUCAGAAAAGAAGUCUUCAGCCUUGAAUUUUUGCUUGCUAGAGAACGGAUUCUUCGGUUUGGGCAGAGGAGUGUCAGUGAUUUGCAGCACAACCUCAGGAAUCAUGAUCUCAGGUGCUUCAGGCUGAGGAAUUUCUGGUUCCUCUUCUUGUGCAGUUUGGGGAUCAGCAGCAGCAGGUUCUUCAGCACUAGCGGCUGGAAUGUCUUCAUGAACAGACGAUGUGGGAUGAGUUUCUUCAGAGCCCAUUUGAACAGUUGUAGCCGGGGAUUGAGGAAUUUGUUGAAUAGGAGUGAAGAGAGGAGUAUUGGGAUGCUGACUUUCCCAAAAGUCAUCGUUCAUCACUGGUGUAGUGCAUCCAAUAUCCACAUCUUCAUCUUCUUUUUCAAUUUCCUCAACACCAGCAUCUUCAGCUGUGAACUGAGGCAUAGGUGAGGAAACGACUGGCGUUGAAGGGAAUGUGUCCACUUCAAUUUCUUCAUCAAACUGCUCUGAGGUAGCAAUAGAAUGAUUUUCUUCAUCAGAUCCGCUGGGGAUCUUGUAGUCUUCUCCAUAAGGAACAAUUUCCUUUGAUGACAUGGAGGAAAUCGGAAUGGCAUCAAUAGGAUUUUCAAGCGAGCUGGUCAUUGGCUUCAUUUUCUUCACGGCCGAGGAAUUUGACGCAGCCGAUGCCUUCCUUUUCUUCACUGCAGCUCGCUCUGCAGCCUUGGUCUUCUUCACUUCAUAGGCAGAAGGAAGAAUUGGAGUUGGUGUUGGCGCGGGAGGAGCUGAGGACUGUGGUUCAUUUUCUUCAGGCGCAACUGGUGCAGUUGCCCUGAUCUCUUCAGUUUCUUCAGGCGCACCACUAGUGGAUGCCCUGGGAAUUUCUUCAGCGGCUGGAAUGGAGUCAUCAGCCCUGGAACUUGUAUUCUCAUCAGCAGGCUGAAAGUCAUCAGCAGUGCUGGCAUGUUCUUCAGCAGGCUGAGCAGAGUCUGCAGCCUGAGGAUUUUCUUGUUGCGAUGGGGCUAUAACAGUUGUCAUUUUCUUCGUCAAAUUGACGAAUCUCACUUUGGCUCCUUUCCAAUCAGCAUUGUAUGCAUCGAAAUCUUUGCUGAGGGCUUGGAUCUCAGAUUGAGCCUUGAGAAGUUCUUCAGGUGAUAGUCUGACAACGUUCUUCUUCAGAAGCUUCUCCUUUCUAGCUUGUGCUCUCUUUAUCUCACGAGCCUUUUCAAACUUCCAUUUCUCUUGAGCGAUGAAAUGGGUUAGCAUAUGACUUUGACUAGGAGUCAGAGGCAGAUCAGGCAUUGGAGUGUUUGGAUCCUUAUGCCAUAAGUCAAUGUAGUCGAGGAUCUUCUUCGGAUCCAAAAGCAGAGGCACAGGUGUUCCUUUGGCUCUGGCGGCCUUUGCUUGUCUAUCUCUGAUGAUUUCCGUAAGUUCUUCAUCAGAAGCCUCGUCAUCUGAGGGCACUUGGAAAGCAACCUGUUUCUUUCUUGGACUUGGCCGAGGACCGCAUCCAGCUGUUGCUUUUGUCUUCAGCAGAGUGGGGCCUGAUGAGGACAUUGGUGCUGCUGAGGAACUUGCUGAGACACCAGAAGCAAUUGAGAAACCCUGAGUCCUUUGACAUGUAGCCAGAUGCACAGGAGUUGAGGACUUGGAGGGAGCUGCUGAGGACUUUGGUGGAGCAGCAGUAGUCUGAGGAAUUUGCCGUGAGGGCGCGACUGAGGAACUUGGCCAUGAGGGCGCUGAAGGUGAAGCACUUGGCUUGCGAGCAGGCUUCUUCGACAUUGAUUUCCUCGGCUUGACCGAGAUCUCAGCGGCAGCAGCAGCAGCAGAAUCCUCAUUGAAUUUCUUCACUGCCUCCUUGGCUUGUCUUGCCAAUUUUGCUUGGCGCCUAGCCCAUUCUUCAGGAAAGUCUUCACCACUUUUGAUGCUAGUGGGAUCAGCGACUUGGCCAGGUGCCAAUGGAGCUCUUGGGCAUGGAGGAUUUAAGGCGAAUUUCUUCAUGUACUUUGGAGUAACAUAUCGAUAUUCCCUCCAUUCUUGUGCCCAUCUUCGUUCAAUCCUCUGAAUGCGCACUUUGCGCUGAUUCUUGUUUUCUUUGCCAAACUUGGCUUCAUCAGGUGUGCAAUAAUCCUUGUAUAUUUCAUCAGGGAUCUCGAAAGCAGUCAUGACCUCCGGUCUCUUUCCUCCUUUCUACGGUCUCUUUCCUUCAGCCAUUUUCUUCAGAUGAGGAAUUUGAACAAUUGAACACUCUGAAGAAGUAUGCAGUUUUUCUUCGAGGAACGCUACAAAUGAGUUAAGUUGAUGAGAACCUAGUGAUUCAGCAGCGGACAUGAGUACCUGUGAACAGAGUGUAGGUGCGAGGAAUUUGGAGAGGUCAUAUGCGUUCUCAGAAGAUUUUUCGAAAAGACAAGUUUUGAGGAAUUUGACCAGUUGAGCCUUGAGGAAUUUCACUAAGCAUUCUUGUCUUAGGUUCCAGAGUUGUACAGAUCGAAAAUCCGCACAAUUGAGGAAUCUUGAAGAAAUGAGUGCUUAGAGAGAUGGAUCAAGAGCAUACAGUGUGUGAGGUGUUCAUAUGUGAAGAUUUGAAGAAUAAAACACCUUUGAGGAUUUCCAGAAAAGUUUGAGAAUCAAAGCGAGUAAUAAAAGUGACUUUUAAUUACCCGAACUGAAGAACACGACGAACAGAGAUGAACAGCGAUGAAGUUCGUCAAGUUAGAUCUCCCACGCCCUAACUUGGCAGAGGGAGACAGCUACGGCGGCGGCGGAGUGAAGAUUUCCGCAGCCGGCGUGAGUACGACGGCGACGAGGUCGAGGCAGUGAAGCUCUUCCUCACCGGCGGCAAUGGAGUAGCGGCGGCGCUAGGGUUUGAGGAGAGCUCGAGCGAGAGACAGCGACCGAGCGGAGUAAAUGAAGUAAGGAAGGGGAGAGGGGUAUUUAUAGCCACGGUAAAAACUAUUCGCCCGAAGAUUUUGGGACGAACAUGCCCCUGCCCUUUCUUAUUCACGCGACAUGUGUCACCCACGUACUGUGCAGAUGAGAUCGUGUAAGAUCGUGGGUGAAUAAAAUAAUGCGUCGUGGGAUGCAGAACGGUUUGAGCGGUAAAACCGAAAAUCUGGAUAAGAUUUGUUUUAAAGUUUCGUUGCAAUUUCUUUAGCUGACAAGGACGCAGUGAAGACUUUGAACGAGUUUCAAUCAGAACACACAUGAAGAAUUUGUGAAUAGAUUGGGUUGAGUAAGCAUAGAGGGGGAAGGGUCCGAUCACAUUCACUUAGCAGAAAUCGCAACUUGAAGAAAUAGCAAUAAGUGAAUGCUGUAGAGGACAUAAACUCACAUAUAUAUAUAGCCAAUGAAGAAAAACGACGGAAACAGUGAAGAUUUUGCAAAGUUGAAGAAUUUGAAAGACUGAAGAAUUUCAAAAAUGAGGAAAAACUCAAAUUGAAGAUUUUCAACUUUUGUGGUGGCGUGACCCACCGUAUAAGAAUGAUGAUUUCAGACACUGCGUACAAUUGUCGUAGGGUUCUGAGAAUCAAAUUCUUCAUUAAUUUCUUCACACUUAGAGUGUUAUUCUUCAUUGAUUGAAGAAAAAUGUUUCUUCAUGUGUUGCACAUCUAAGUCAUCAAUUCUGUAUAAGGGUUAGGAUGUGUGUCCUUUUCAAAGAACAUUCAAAGAUUCUAAGAUAUUUAGCUCACACCGCAACUUGCUAAAUCUCUUCUCAUCCAAGGGCUUGGUGAAGAUAUCAGCUAGCUGUUCUUCAGUCUUCACAUGCUCGAUGGAGAUGUCGCCCUUCAACACAUGAUCACGAAGAAAAUGAUGACGAAUCUGGAUGUGCUUAGUCUUCGAGUGCUGAACUGGGUUGUGAGCAAUCUUGAUGGCACUCUCAUUGUCGCAGAGGAGAGGCACAUUCUUCACGUUGACGCCAUAGUCCUUGAGGGUUUGCUUCAUCCAAAGCAGUUGAGCACAGCAAGAGCCAGCAGCAAUGUAUUCAGCUUCAGCAGUAGACAGUGAUACGCAGUUCUGUUUCUUCGAGGACCAACAGACCAAAGAUCGUCCGAGGAAAUGACAAGUGCCAGAUGUUGACUUGCAGUCCACAUGAUCACCAGCAUAGUCAGAGUCAGAAUGUCCAAUGAGAUCAAAAGCAGAGCCCUUGGGGUACCAUAAUCCUAGUGUUGGUGUGUGAGCUAGAUAUCGAAGAAUAUGCUUCACAGCCUUAUGGUGUGAUUCCUUCGGUGCAGCUUGAAAUCGGGCACACAUGCAAACACUAAGCAUUAUAUCUGGCCUAGAUGCACAUAAGUACAAUAAGGAUCCAAUCAUGGAGCGGUAUACCUUGUGAUCAAAGUCAAUACCAUUUUCAUCAGUGCAUAGAUGACCAUUUGUGGGCAUAGGAAUUUUGACGCCUUUGCAAUCUUGCAUGCCGAAUUUCCUCAGUACAUCUUUGAGGUAUUUCUCCUGAGAUAUGAAUAUGCCAUUGCGCUGCUGACGAAUUUGAAGACCUAAGAAGAAUUUCAACUCUCCCAUCAUAGACAUUUGAUAUUCCUCACUCAUCAUAUAGGCAAAUUCAUCACUAUAACGUUGGUUAGUACAGCCAAAGAUAAUAUCAUCAACAUAUAUUUGGCACACAAACAGUUCACCAUCAUAUGAUUUAGUAAAAAGAGUAGGGUCGAGUGAACUGGGUGUGAAGCCAUUCUUCACGAAGAAUUCCUUCAAUGUAUCGUACCACGCCCGAGGGGCUUGCUUGAGGCCAUAGAGAGCCUUAUUGAGUUUGAAGACUUUGUCAGGAUUCUUGGGAUCUUCAAAACCUGGGGGUUGAGCAACAUAUACUUCUUCCUCAAGCUUACCAUUGAGGAAUGCACUUUUCACAUCCAUUUGAUAUAAGAUGAUAUCAUGAUGGUUAGCGUAAGCAAGUAAUAUGCGAAUAGCCUCAAGUCUAGCAACAGGUGCAAAAGUUUCAUCGAAAUCAAUUCCUUCAACCUGUGUGUAGCCUUGAGCUACUAGUCGUGCCUUAUUCCUCACCACAAGGCCAUUUUCAUCUUGCUUGUUGCGGUAGAUCCACUUUGUGCCAAUGAUAUUAUGCUUGCGAGGAUCUGGGCAAUUGACCAAUUCCCAGACAUUGUUUAGCUCGAACUGAUGUAAUUCUUCUUGCAUAGCCUAAAUCACUCCGGCUCCAGAAAUGCUUCAUCUACCUUAGUGGGCUCUGUGAUAGAGACAAAAGCAUAGUGCCCACAAAAGUUAGAUAAAUGUGAUGCUUUUGAGCGUGUGAGAGGACCUGGUGCGCUAAUGUCAUCGAUGAUCUUCUCCACUUGCACUUCUUUUGCAACGCGUGGAUGUGUUGGUUGUCGCUGAGGAUUUUGAUCAGUAUUAUCUUCAGCACCAUUUUCCUCAUCUUGUUCUUCAGGUGCAUCAGCUCGACGUUCUUCAUGAACAGCAAUGAAUUCUUCAGCAGAUUCUUCAGUCGGAAUGACAUCCUCAGUUGCCUUGAGCUUGAUAGCAUCUUCAGGUGUUGGUUCAUCUAACACAGAAGGUAGGUGCUCUCUUUCCGAGCCAUUAGUUUCAUCGAACCGCACAUCUACAGUGUCAACAAUCUUGUGAAGAACAAUGUUGAAGACUCUGUAGGUGUGUGAGUCCUUUCCGUAACCAAGCAUAAAACCUUCAUGUGCUUUCGGUGCAAAUUUAGAGUUGUGGUGAGGAUCUCUAAUCCAACAUUUAGCACCGAAGACUUUGAAAUAACUCACAUUGGGUUUCUUGUCAGUGAGGAGUUCAUAGGCAGUAUUCUUGAAGAAUUUGUGAAGAUAUACUCUGUUGAUGAUGUGGCAAGCAGUAUCAAUUGCAUCAAUCCAAAAACGCUGAGGCGUUUUGUAUUCAUCAAGCAUAGUGCGAGCCAUCUCAACAAGAGUUCUGUUCUUGCGCUCCAUGAUGCCAUUCUGCUGAGGAGUAUAGGGAGCAGAUAACUCAUGAGUAAUACCAAGUUCAUCAAGAUAUGCAUCAAGACCGGAAUUCUUGAACUCAGUUCCAUUGUCACUUCUGAUAUGCUUGAUCUUCACACCAAAGUUGGUUGAAGCCCUCGAGGAAAAUCGUUUGAAGACUUCCUGCACUUCAUGUUUGUAAGUAACAAUGUGUACCCAUGUAUAUCGUGAAUAAUCAUCAACAAUGACAAAACCAUAUAGAGAUGCAUCAUUAGUGACUGCUGAAUAAUGAUUAGGUCCGAAGAGGUCCAUGUGAAGCAAUUCAAAUGGACGGGUAGUGGUCAUGAUAGUCUUCACUGGAUGCUUGGCCUUGGUCAUUUUUCCGGCUUCACAUGCUCCGCAUAAGUGAUCCUUGAGGAAUUUGACAUUCUCAAUGCCAAUGACAUGCUUCUUCUUCGCGAGCGUGUUCAAAUUCCUCAUGCCUGCGUGACCAAGUCAUCGAUGCCAUAGCCAGCCUUCUGAAGCUUUUGCAAGUAGACAUACGGCUGGUUGUGGUCCUGUAGAGAAAUCAACAAUAUACAGAUCUCCUCUCCUAAAGCCUUCGAAGACUUUGGAAUUGUCAGCUUCCAUAAUCACAACACAGCGAUAUUUGCCAAAGACAACAACCAUAUCAAGAUCACAAAGCAUUGAGACUGACAUGAGACUGUAUCCUAAGGACUCAACAAGCAUGACUUUGUCCAUGUGCUUAUCCUUAGAGAUAGCAACCUUACCAAGACCCAAUACCUGACUUUUGCCUUUGUCAGCAAAGAUGAUAUGCUUCAGAGGUGACGGUGAUAAGGGAGCAUCCAUCAAUAGAUUCUUGUCACCAGUCAUGUGAUUUGUACAUCCACUAUCGAGGACCCAUUCAGUGGUUUUGGGUUGAUCAUCCUGCAGAUGAAUUAGUGUAGCUUACAAUCUCAUAUGCUUCAUUAGUGAAGAAUAUGAUAUCAAGUUCAUCAGAUGAAUUUCAUCAAGCAGUAAACAGAUAUAGCAGUAUGAGGACGUGUGAAAUGAAAGUUCAUUUCAUCAUGAUUCGCCUGCGUCCCUUCAGGCAUUUUUGUCAGGUCCCCAGCAAAUUCUUCAGACGUUAGAGCACGUCUGGAGACCUGACCCUGCAGAAGAGAUUAGUUCUUUUUCUUCACCACCCACAUCUGGAGGGGUGGCAAAGACUUCAUCAUUCUGCGAGCACCAUAUGAGAAAGGUGGCAAAGAUGCCAAACCAUUUCGCUUCACAUAAGAUGGGUUAGGGUAAGCAUAUGAAUAAGUAGAGUAAUUCUUCAAGGACUUAUGAACAUAAUGGUUUGAAGAAUAAUGCACAUAUUCAUAGCCCUUAGCUCUACCCUGCGAGACAGAGUUGUUAGCACGAUGAUAAUCAUAUGAGGUCUUUGAUCCAGUUGAGGAAUUUGAUCCAUAUGAAGAAUUUGGUCCAUAUGAAGAAUUUGAUCUGGGGUUCCUGUUCUUCACAGGUGGUGUCAUGAGGACAUUCACCUGAAGACUUUCAACACAACUUUUGGGAACCCAGAUUUUCUUCAUAGGGGAACCGUUCCUGCAGUUAGUGCCAACAUAUCUAGCAAAUACUUCACCAUUUUGAUUUUUGAACAGUUUAUAGUUGGAGUCAAAUGACUCAUCAGAAGAAUGAGGAGAUUCACAUGUAAAGCCAGAUAAGUUAAAUGGAUCAACUGGAGGUCCCUUUGCAGCAACCCAUGAGGUUUUGGGGUACUGCUCAGGCUUCCAAUAUGUUCCAUCAGCAUUGAGUUUCCUCUCAAAGGCAAUACCCUCUUUCCUAGGGUUUCUGUUGAGGAUCUGCUUUUUGAGCACAUCACAAAGUGUCUGAUGCCCUUUGAGGCUUUUGUACAUGCUUGUCAUGUACAAUUCCUUCAGCCCUGCAUUGUCAGUGAUACUAGCAAUGUCCUCAGAUGAGGAAUUAGUGAUAGCAGAGGCAGAUGAAGAAUUUGUAACAGUUGAAGCAUUUGAACAUUCAGGUGAAGAAUUAGCAGAUUCACGUUCAAUGCACUUUAAGCAAGGGGGAACAAAUUCUUCCUGAGAAGCGCUGAUUUGUUGAGCUAGUAAUGAAUCGCGCUCCUUCUGAAGAUCUUCAUAACACACUCUUAGCUUUUCAAGAUCUUCCUUUCUUUGAAGAGAUUCAAGAGAAAGCUUCUCGUGAUCUUGCUUUUCUUGAAGAAAUUCAUAAGAAAGUUUCUCAUGAUCAGACAAGAGAGAGUUAUGAUGAUCUUGAAGGUUAUCAAACCUAGACUGAAAUCUCUGAAGAUUUUCAGUCAAGACUUUAGUGCGAUCCAUUUCUUCGCCCAACAUAUCGUCACUUUUAUCUAGCAUGUUUUGAACCUUUUCAAGAGCCCGUUGUUGUUUCACAGCAAUCUUAGCAAGUUUAGAGUAGCUGGGCUUGAGAUCCUCAUCAGAUUCAUUUUCACUAGAGUCAGAGGAGUUGUAUUUGAGUACCUUAGCACCUUUCGCCAUGAAGCAAUAGGUGGGAGCGUAGCCAUCAUUAUCUUCAUCAGGCUUGUCGGUGGAGUCAGUUUAUUCAGUGUUGAAGAUGGACUUGCUGACGAAGGCAGUAGCAACGGCCAGACUCACCACACCAGACUCAGAUUCUUCAGACGCUUCUUCUUCAUCAUUUUCCUCAGAUUCAGCUUCAGAGUCCAUCUCCUUGCCAAUGAAUGCCCGAGCCUUCUUGGAGCUGCUCUUCUUGUGAGAUGAAGACUUCGAGGAUUUUGAUGACGAAGAUUUUGACGAUUUCUUCUUCUUCUUCGCAUCAUCAGAACUGUAAUCCUUGUAUUUCUUCUUCUUCAUUUCCUUUUCCCACUGAGGACAAUCUUGAAUAUAGUGACCAGGCUUCUUGCAUUUGUGGCAAAGCCUUCUCUUAUAGUCACUGGAUGAGGAAUCACUGCCUCUUGAGGAUCUUCCAAAGCGACCACGUCUUGUGAACUUCUGGAAUUUCUUCACAAGCAGUGCUAGAUCCUGGCUCAAUUCUUCAGGAUCACCAAGGCUACUACCAGAAUCCUCAUAUUCAGAGUCAGACACAGCCUUGGCCUUCAGGGCACGUGGUUUUCCAUAGUUUGAGCCAUAGAGAUCUCUCUUUUCAGCAAGCUGGAACUCGUGAGUGUUUAGCCUUUCGAGGAUAUCAGCAGGAUCAAGCGACUUCUAGUCAGCACAUUCUUGUAUCAUCAGUCCCAGAGUAUCAAAUGAGGAGUCAAGCGAUCUCAAUAGUUUCUUCACAACUUCAUGAUCAGUGAUGUCAGUGGCACCGAGGGCUUGAAGCUCAUUUGAGAUGUCAGUGAGGCGAUCAAAGGUUUGUUGGACAUUCUCAUUGUCGAGUCUUUUGAAGCGGUUGAAGAGAUUCCGAAGAACAUCGACUCGAGAGUCACGCUGAGUUGAAACUCCUUCAUUUACUUUGGACAACCUAUCCCAGAUAAGCUUAGCAGUUUCCAAAGCACUCACUCUUCCAUGCUGUCCUUUGCUCAGAUGGCCACAUAUGAUAUUCUUCGCUUGAGAAUCGAGUUGUUUGAAUCUCUUCACAUCGGUAGCGUUCAGUGAGGGAGUGACAGUGGGGACACCAUUUUCCACAACAUACCAGAGAUCGUUAUCAAUUGCCUCAAGAUGCAUUCGCAUUUUGUUCUUCCAGUAGGGGUAGUCCGUUCCAUCAAAGGUAGGACACCCAGCCGAGACCUUGAUCAUACCUGCGGUCAACAUAACUAAAACUCCAGGCAGUUAAACCAAAAUCACACAGAACAAGGGAGUACCUUGCUCUGAUACCAAUUGAAAGUGCGUUAUAUCGACUAGAGGGGGGUGAAUAGGCGAUUUUUAUGAAUUCUUCACUGAGGAAUUUGCUGGUGAGGAAAUUCCUUAGCGAAGAACUACUUGCAACGGAAUAAGUACUCAGAAGUAAACAUAACAGGAUACAAACAUAGUCAUCAUGAUGAAAUGAAGACUAGCACAGAGUACAGAAAGCGUAAACACAGGAUAACAAGAUGAAGACAAACAGACUGAAGAAAUUGAACUGGGGAAUUUGUGAAAGUCUUCAGUCAAAGUCUUCAAGCACAGAUAUGAACAACAUAUAACAGAGUAAUGAGGAAAUGAAAGAGUUAAGGAAAUAGAACCAGUUAGUUGGUGAAGACAAUGAUUUGGUAAACCAGUUCCAACUGCUAUCUCAGUUGUACGUCUAGUUGGAGAUGCUUAGUAUUUAAACUCGAGGACACGCAGUCCCGGACACCCAGUCUCUGAGCCGCAACUCAGGACACCCAGUCCUCACCGUAUUCUCCUUGAACCAAGACCACGCAGGCCUCGUCCAAUCACUCGUGGUAAGUCUUCAGGUGACUUCCAAACCUUCACAGACUUGGUCACUCGGCGAUCCACAAUUCCUCUUGGAUGCUCUAGACCUUGACGCCUAACCGUCUGGAAGAAGCACAGUCUUCAAAGGUAACAAGCGUCGGAUCCACGCAGGAUCAAUUUCUUCAGUGAUGCUCAAUCACUUUGGGUUUGUGGGGGUUUGGUUUUGGGAUUUUCCUCACUUGAUGAUUUUCGCUCAAAGUCCUCGGAGGAUGGGUUGCUCUCAAAUGACAAGUGUCAAGUUCUCUCGGAGCAGCCAACCAACUAGUGGUUGUAGGGGGCGGCUAUUUAUAGCCUAGGGAGCAGCCCGACAUGAUAAGACAUAAAUGCCCUUCAAUGAUAUGACCGUUAGGUGGAUAAGAUAUUUUAGACAGCCGGCGCGCAACACAGCAACGGUCAGAAAUUUGACUCUCAAAUUCCUCAGGGCUAUCAUGUUCCUCACUGUGUAGGCAAUUUGCACUGGCGAAUUCCUAACUCCUCAGUCAGAGCAAAGUCCUCAGUGACCAGAAGAACUGCGUCUCUGUCACUGAAGAAAUUGACUGAACUGUAUGAGAUUUCUAAUGGCUUCACUCGAAGGGAUUGGUAGGUGUAGGAUUUUGAGUUGAGCAUCACAUGGAAAUUUUUCCUUAGUAUUUCCUCGACCCCCUUUAACAGUACAGUGUUUCCUAUGACUCAAGAAAGAGAAAAUGAAACUACGAAAACAAAAGUCUUCACGCUUCAUAUUCCUCGAAUGAAUACCAAGUCUUCAAGGUCACACCAAUUUCUUCACUUUCAAAGUCUUCAGAAAGUCUUCAGAAUAUCAAAGUCUUCAGUCGAUGAACUUCAUUUUUAGGGGUCGACUUUCUCUAUAAAUAUCAAACUCCUCAUAGACUUAUAGACCUGUGUACACUUACAAACGCAUCAGUCACUUAACCUAUAAGUCUUCAAUACACCAAAAUCACUAAGGGGCACUAGAUGCACUUACACUUGCUUUUAAAUUUUGAAUUCGAACGGGGUCGAUUCAUCGCGAGAUUAACAAUAGUAAUUGUGGUGACGUGGCAACAUUAGUGAAGGUUUACUGUAGCUUAAUUAUCCAGGCGUCACAAUUCUCCUCCACUACAAGAAAUCUCGUCCCGAGAUUUAAGGGGUGGAGUAAGGGGGAAAGACUCAGGAAGGACGGAGCUCAAAACAAGAUAGGUACCUGGGGGAUGUUUCGAUGAACGUGGCAUAAAGACAUCUCUCGAGUUGAAAUUCAAGAAAGUCAUCGAGAGCAAGGUAAGAAGGAGCAACAAGAAGCUUCAACCAGGUAGGCAAUCGUUCGUUGCCUGGAACAGAGGGUGAAAAGGGUUCAUAGCAAUGAGAAUAAGUAUUGCGUCUGAUACCAGAAUAGAUCACUAGGAAGGUGGCUCGUGAAUUACAUAUGAAGCCAAGCGCGAGGGAUAACUUUGAAAACAGGGAUGUAUAGGAGAGUCAGGUUUCGAUCAUGUGGAACUAUGGGUUAUGGGCCCAUCAUGUGGGUUAAAACAAGGAAUGCGCAAAUCAUUUUGCACGGUCAUGAUAGCAAGGCAGGUCAGAGGAUAGCCUAUCAAUUAUGUUGGCGACAACGUUGGUACGAAGGGCGAGGGACGAAGAGAACCAUUUUCCUGCUCGCAAGGCGAGGCGGACCAAUAGGCAAAGUUCCCGUCCAUCGAUGGCUACCAGACUGUUAUCAACAAUAGUAACAAGGUCUUUCUGACAGAGUUCGUACACCGAGGUGUUCACAUAAGCAGGGAAAUACCACUGCUCAAAUAUUUUAGGUUACAAGAAAGUUUAGAAACAAUGGAAAGGAAAGUAUAGACUCGAAUCAGUUAUCGGUAUCUUGAGUGUCUAAUAACUCAGAACCCAUGGAAAAUUGGAAUCAGCGAGAAAUAAUAGUUGAUGAAGAACUCAUAAGGGGUUAUGUAGUUCCGUGAUAUUCUCGAGAUACUAUAGGGUAAUACUCGGAGGUAGAUCAAAGUAGAGGUUGGACAUGUGAAAUGAUCUGAAGAAGACAAGUACUUUAACUUGUCCGAGAAAUGGGAUCAAAGAAGAACAAUAUGGUCGAAACCACAGUUGCAAAGGACCAAAUAUAGAUAACAGAUGAACUUAUCACUAGGGGAUUAUUAUUAUAACAAGAAGCUUCCAUGAUAAGUUCCACAUCGGGUCCAUGGGCAUGAACACAAAGGUUCAAGGUCGACUCCCACUUCUCUAAUGCACAACCUCCCAUUCACUUCUCGCAUUCGAAGAAAAUGUAGUGUUCAAAUGCUCCGAAGAAUCGCUACUAGAUAUAACCCGCAUAUUCUUCAGGUACACACGGAUUUGGAGAAGACAUAGAUUCAACCCAUAUGGGCAUAUUAGGAACAUAUACCACAAACUUUAGGAAUAGAUAACUCAAGCUCGGAAGUAAAGCAUGGUUGAGCAGGCAAAGGAUACAAUUUACCAAAGGCAUUAUGUAUCCAAAGAAGCGCUCUCAAGGUUAUUGACUAUGAAGGAUGCUGCCGGGUAAAACCCAACAAAGGACCUGGAGUCCCACAAUGGAUCUGAUGUGAGUAUCGGUACUCAACCAGAAGAAGAAGGAUUUCAAGGAGCUUAGGUUAUAGAAACAACUGACUAAUUCGAAGCUCAAAUGCAAAGGAAUUAUGGUUUCCAAAUCGGGGAGGAUCAGAAAUAGAGACUCUGAUCAAAGACAAGUAAGUUGAAUGGACAUAGAUCUACAAUCAAGCAAGGCUUGAUUUGCCGAACACCAGCUCAUGUCCGGAGUGACGUCUGAACCAAGGGAAGGAUUUUAAAUAGGACUGGUGAUCGCGAGCAUUCACAAACAAAUCGAAUCAGAUGCUCGAAAUCACGAUGACAAAGGAUGCUAACGAGUAUUGCUAGACAUACGGAGUAACCAUAAUGUAAGCAGAUAAGUAUUGCCGAGCAAUAGUUGGAGAGGAUUACCGGAAUAUCGAAUAGUACUUCAAAGUAUGAAUCACUUGAUCAACUAGGAACGAACAAAUCCUCGAAAAGUGUGAGGAAUUAUUCAUAUGGGUAUUCAUGUGGCAAGGAACUGCAGGGCAGUAAGCAUAAGGAUUGUCGGAACAUCAGAGAGUAUUUCAGGACAUUUUGUAUUAACAAGGGAAACUGGGGAUGAAGGUAUGAACGACAAUGCAGAUAGCUAUCCAAAAGGAUUAUCGGUGGUAUGGAUCGCAACGGCGAAGGGUACAAGGGGCUCGGUAAAACAUCAGAGAGUAUCUUCAGAAUCUUGUGGUGCACCAAGCAAUCAUCUGGAGUGAGGGGCUCUCCGGGAGAAAGUAUUUACAAGAUCCUAGAGUUAGAGUUAACAAAAUCAUUUAACCCAAAUAGAAGAGAGAUCAGAUUCCCAGAGUAAGGAUGAGGAAUAAAAGAUCCUAAUACCACCCAAUUGGCAACGUAGGCCCGUAAGCCACACAGCCAUGUUAGUAAAACAGUUUUUCAAAACUAGACUCAACUUCGGCCAAGGAGUUGGAAAGAGGGAUCCUACAGGCAGUCGGCUCUGAUACCAACUUGUGAUGCCCCCGAUUCAAUCGUACACUAAUCAUACACGCAAAUGUGUACGAUCAAGAUCAGGGACUCACGGGAAGAUAUCACAACACAACUCUAGACACAAAUAAAAUAAUACAAGCUCUAUAUUACAAGCCAGGGGCCUCGAGGGCUCGAAUACAUAGCUCGAUACACAAGACUCAGCGGAAGCAACAUUAUCUGAGUACAGACAUAAGUUAAACAAGGAUGCCUUAAGAAGGCUAGCACAAAAGCAACAACGAUCGAAGAGGCAAGGCCUCCUACCUGGGACCUCCUAACUACUCCUGGCCGUCGGCGGUCUUCACGUAGCAGCAUCCAUCGGUGGUGGCAUCUAGCUCCAGGGAUCCACCAUUUGGUUGCAUCAACCGGAAAGAAGAAGGAAGGGGGAAAAGGGGUAGCAAAGCAACCGUGAGUACUCAUCCAAAGUACUCGCAAGCAUAAGAUCUACACUAAGUAUGCACUGGUAUCAAAUGGAAGGUUUGUAUCUGUGGACUGAACUGCAGAAUGCCAAGAAUAGAGGGGGAAAGCCUAGCCUAUCGAAGACUAGCAUCUUCACGCAGCUCCUCGCAUCUUGCAGCAUGUAGAAGAGUAAAGAAUAGCAGUUUAUAUUUAACAAGCAUGUUGUAACAAUAAUGCCCAGAGAUCCUUCCUCGACUCCCUGCGAGAAAGCAAUCCCGGAGCCACAUAUCUCAAGUAUCCAUUUGUAGUUGUAUAAGAUCAGGAUAUAAGUCUGAACAUCCAUUACCGUGGACAUGGUACUCGAAUAUAUAACUUCCCUGUAGGGGUGCACCACGUUACCCAACACGCUCGAUCACUCUGGCCAGACACACCUUUCUAGGGUCAAUGCCCGCCCUCGGAAGAUCAACACGUUGCAGCCCGACCUAGGCUCAGCAGAGAGGUCCCCGCCGGUCUACAUCCUAAGCACUCCGGGGUCUGGGCCCAUCGCCCGUUGCACUCCGGAUCGUUGUGCGCAAGGGGAUACCAGCACCACCCGUGAAGUGGAUGGCACGAUCCGGCCCGACCACAAUGCUGAACUUGACGUCUGACAAAGCUUCGGCUGAUACCACGAUGUCGAGGCCUAUAUCUAUUCUCGCGUGGUGGUUAGUGCGUAAAGGCCAGAGGCCAACUCAGAACAAAUACCCAAACCAUAGUGUAUUAUUAGCUGGCGGAGACGAGCAGAGACUCACGAUCGAAAGUGACCCCGUCGCCCCGUCUCGUGGACUUACGACAAGGGCCUAGAAUGCCCGGCCGUGCCACAUAACCAUCUUGCGGGUGCUCUCCGGGCCCGCCCAACUUCCACCAAGGUCUCAAGUAAAGCCAUUGUAACCGUGUGUCCAGACAUCAAGGGGAAAACCCAAGGAAUCACCCCCAGUGGAUUCCACUCAAUGUAAUCAUCAAGGUGAACGUAUGAGGGACCACCCUCGAGGAUCACUCUUGAGGUGUUGAACGACAGAGCCGUAUCGGGAAUGGAGAAAGAGGAAAUCACCCUCGAUGACCACGACCGAAUAGCUACACUACAGAAUUAUCAUCAGGAGUGCGUUAUGAGGGAUCACCCUCGGCACUCGAUAGUAGCUCUGCAGAGUCGAGCAACAAAAGGGGCGUGAUGUGAUGUGAGGUGUCGGGCUCUGGUCGUCGAUCAUGUCGAUCGAGGCGUCGAUGAUGAAGCAGGGCAACAAGGACAAGGUGGGGGUCACUGAUGGAUCACUAACCAACCUAUACUAAGCAGUUUAGGAUAAGCAGGUACAAAAGCAGGCUAUGCAUCAGAAUAGGAGCAAACAAUAACAGUAGCAAAAUCUAAUGCAAGCAUGAGAGUAUCGAAUGGGCGAUAUUGGGAUGAUCAAAGGGGGGGCUUGCCUGGUUGCUCAGACAAGAAGGAGGGUCGUCGUCGACGUAGUCGAUCACAGUGGCAUCAGCAGCGGUCUCGAGGUCUACCGGGAAGAAGAGGAGGAAAACAGUAAAUACACGCAAACAUAUGCAUAACAUGACAAUAACCAAGGCUAGAGGUGUUCUAACGCAGCGCUAGGCGAUACUGGCGAAGGGGGAAAAAUCCGGGAAAGUUUUCCCGGUUCCGGACGUCUGUCAAACAGAUGAACUAGAGGGGGGAAAGUUCAACGUUUGAUAUGCUAGGGAUGUGUGGCGAAUGAAGGGACCACGUAAUCGGAUUCGUCUCGUCGUCCUGAGCAACUUUGAUGUAUAAAACUUUUUCAUCCGAGUUACGGUUAAUUUUCUAUGAUUUUUCCAAGAUUUAAACAAUAUUCUGAAAUUAUUAUUAAAAAGGAAAUACUGCAUCAGCAUGACGUCAGGGUGAUGUCAGCAGUCAAUGUUGACCUGCUGACCAGUCAAACUGACAGGUGGGUCCAUCCUGUCAUAGACUGAUAACUAAACAGCGUUUGAUUUUAACUAACCUAGUUAAUUAGGAUAAUUAAGCCAAGUUAAUUAUGUUAAUUAAUUUAAUUAUUUUUUAUAUCUUUUUUUUACUUAUAACAGGGGAUGGGCCCCACUGCUCAGUGGCCCAUUAGGCAACUAGAGCGGGUGGUUAACGGGGCGGGUGCUGCCCCAGGCGGAGGCCGAACCCGCCCAGGUGCGGGGCGAGGCCAGCGGGGCACCGGCGAGGACGACAGGCCGCGGCGGCCGGCUCCAGGCGACGCGGGGUCACGCGGAUGGAACGAGCUGCACCGGCAGCAGUUGGGCGAAGGGGGCGACCGGCGAGCAGGCACGGGGCGGCCGCAACCGCGCGUGGGGAGGAAAGGGGGCGGCAGCAAGCGCCGACGGGGCCGUGGCCACGGCGUGGCCAGCCGAAGAGGGCUGCGGUCGCGAUGGGCUAGCGUAGCAGGAGGGGGCAGCGCGAGCGACGGUGGGGUGCUGUGCGGGGCACGGCCAGGCGUGGGGUGAAGGGCGUGGCCCGGCGAGCGCGGGCCGGUGCGGUGGUGGCCGGGGCGCGACGGGCGCAGCUACGGGUGAUGCACGACGACGGAAGCAAAGGAGAAGGUGGGAAAAUGGACAGCGAAGCUCACCGGGCCCUGUAGGUGUGCACAAGUGGGCUCGAGGAGGAGUCGGGGAGGCGUCGGAGCAGCCAGAGACGAGUCGGGGAGGCGGGUCGACGCGGAUCGACGGUGGUGUUGUCGCAAUGCCGAGGACGAGACGGUCGUGGGCAGCGCAGGUGAAGCUCCCCAGUGUCGAUCUCGGGGUGGGGUCGACGAAGCGAAGCUCGGCGGUCCCCGGGGGCACGACCACACAACACAGGGAGGCCGGUGGCCGCGAUGGUGGUGCGGCGACGACGAGGG